ensembl:lncRNA
CAGUACGUGCGUACUCUUUUGCCACACACUCCAAAAGUAUGUCCUUCGCAAUCCAAGCGUCUGCAUGCUGUUUGUUGACAGGAAGGUGUCGUGUCUCUGUGUCUCUGUUGCUAAGUGCCCCGAGGGGGUUGGAUGGCCCUCCUUUUCUGGACACUGGCCAAGCCCUACAGCACAUCUGGGGAAACCCUGGACCUACCUUGGCCAGGUUAAGAUGUGGUGAGCGUGAAGGUCAUAGUCUAUGAUUUUCAUCCUCAUGAGUGAGCCCUCAUACCCUGUGGAUGGGGGCGGAGUCAUCCUGGAAGAGACCACGCCCAUCGGGAUAGGAAUAUUCCAUCACGGGAUAUAAGAUUUUGUAAUUGACUUGCAGAGAAACUUACCUCUAAGAGCACGAGUGAAGCCAAACCACACCGACUGAAUGAAUACAUUUCCUCGCACGGCUACUUGUUUUUCUGUAUGUCAAGAAAUUGCAUCUAAAUAUAAAAUAUACUAUAAACACAGUAUCAUAGCUGUUAGUUGUCACAAAUGUGGACUUGUGCUUUGACCUCCAAGACUUUCAUUCUGUUUUAAUAGCCUCGGAGCAGAUAAAUCACUUUUGUCAUUAUCAACACAAUCAAUCUUCUCCCGGCUCCAAAGGUUAUAAGUAAUAGACCUUGCAUUGUGUAAUUGAAUAAUUAAUACGUUAACCUUAUUAAGAAAUGAAUGGAAGGACAAAUUUGCUUUGCCUUUUCUAAACCUGCCACUAAUGACCAAUGAGAACUCUCGAGGUAAUUAUAUUCAUCAUAAUUAGUGCAUAGUAAUGAGCGAUUAGCAUGCAGUAGCGGAUAAAAGGAGCACUUUGCUCCUAAUUGCCGAACAUGAGCUGCGACUCAUAACCUCCAUUGACUUUAAUUGUCUGUAAUUGGC